ACCUACUGUUUAAUUUUGAGGGUUCGUUUUUACGAAUACUCAAAAUUAGCACUUUUAGCAACAGAAUAAACUGAACGCAUGUGAAGUUUGUUUGUUGGCGACGUGCUUUAGCACUUUGAAAACUGCAUAUAUAUUUAGUGAUAUGACAUCUAAUUUGUAAUAUAUAAAGCUGAUAACUUUUUAAAAUUAUCGAAGUUGAUAGCUUCUAAUCUAUCAAACCUUUUUAACUGGUCAA
rnacentral:misc_RNA from 1 species